rnacentral:tRNA from 1 species
UCCCUGGUGGUCCAGUGGUUAAGACUCUGUACUUCCAAUGCAGGAGGACAUGAGUGCCAUUUCUCAUCAGGGAA